rnacentral:rRNA from 1 species
UACAGAGGGUGCGAGCGUUAAUCGGAAUUACUGGGCGUAAAGCGCGCGUAGGCGGCUUUGCAAGCCGGAUGUGAAAUCCCCGGGCUCAACCUGGGAACUGCAUUUGUGACUGCAAGGCUAGAGUACGGUAGAGGGGGAUGGAAUUCCGCGUGUAGCAGUGAAAUGCGUAGAUAUGCGGAGGAACACCGAUGGCGAAGGCAAUCCCCUGGACCUGUACUGACGCUCAUGCACGAAAGCGUGGGGAGCAAACAGG